GGAGGUGUAGCUCAAUGGUAGAGCACUUGCUUACAUGCACUAGACCCUGGGUUCAAUUCCCAGCACUGCCC
rnacentral:tRNA from 1 species